rnacentral:rRNA from 1 species
GCUUAUCACCAUUCCAGAUUGAAUAUACCCGAUCUCGUUUGAUCUCGGAAGUCAAGCAAUCUCGGGCUUGGUUAGUACUUGGAUGGGAGACCGCUUGGGAAUACCAAGUGUGAUAAGCA